rnacentral:misc_RNA from 1 species
GAUGAAGAACGCAGCGAAAUGCGAUAAGUAAUGUGAAUUGCAGAAUUCAGUGAAUCAUCGAAUCUUUGAACGCACCUUGCGCCCUUUGGCUAUUCCGAAGGGCAUGCCUGUUUGAGUAUCAUGAACACCUCAACUCCUCAUGGCUUGCCAUGAUGAGCUUGGACUUGGGGGUCUUGCUGGCCUGUGGUCAGCUCCUCUCAAAUGAAUCAGCUUGCCAGUGUUUGGUGGCAUCACAGGUGUGAUAACUAUCUACGCUUGUGGUUUUCCAUCAGGUAACCUUCAGUGAUGGAGGUUCGCUGGAGCUCAUAAAUGUCCCUCCUCAGCGAGGACAGCUUUUUGAACGUUUGAUCUCAAAUCAGGUAGGACUACCCGCUGAACUUAAGCAUAUCAAUAAGCGAGGA